CCCCCCGGGCUGGGGCAGCAGGUACGGGGUGUGGGGCUGGGGGGGGACACGGGGACAGCGCCGCUAUGGGGCACGGGAGCUGUGGGGCAGGGAAAGAGUGGGGCACCCAAUCUGUGGGGCAGCCAAUCUGUGGGGCACCAAGCCAUGGGGCACCCAGAUCACAGGGCACCCAAUCUGUGGGGCACGGGAGCUAUGGGGCAGGGAAACCGUGGGGCACAUGUGCUAUGGGGCACGGGAGCUAUGGGGCAGGGAAACCAUGGGGCAAAUGUGCUAUGGGGCACAGGAGCUAUGGGGCAGGGAAAGCGUGGGGCACAUGUGCUGUGGGGCACGGGAGCUGUGGGGCAGGGAAACCAUGGGGCACGGGAGCUAUGGGGCAGGGAAAGCGUGGGGCAGCCAAUCUGUGGGGCACUCACGCUAUGGGGCACCCAGACUGUGGAGCAGCCAAACCAUGGGGCACAUGUGCUGUGGGGCACAGGAGCUAUGGGGCAGGGAAACCAUGGGGCACAUGUGCUGUGGGGCACAGGAGCUGUGGGGCAGCCAAACCAUGGGGCACAUGUGCUAUGGGGCACGGGAGCUAUGGGGCAGGGAAAGCGUGGGGCACACGUGCUGUGGGGCACGGGAGCUAUGGGGCAGCCAAUCUGUGGGGCACGGGAGCUAUGGGGCACAGGAGCUAUGGGGCAGGGAAAGCGUGGGGCAUAUGUGCUGUGGGGCACAGGAGCUAUGGGGCAGGGAAACCAUGGGGCACGGGAGCUAUGGGGCAGGGAAACCAUGGGGCACAUGUGCUAUGGGGCAGGGAGCUAUGGGGCAGGGAAACCAUGGGGCACCCAAUCUGUGGGGCACCCACGCUAUGGGGCACCCAGACUGUGGGGCAGGGAAACCAUGGGGUACAUGUGCUGUGGGGCAUGGGAGCUAUGGGGCAGGGAAACCGUGGGGCACAUGUGCUGUGGGGCACGGGAGCUAUGGGGCACGGGAGCUAUGGGGCACAGGAGCUAUGGGGCAGGGAAAGCAUGGGGCACAUGUGCUGUGGGGCACGGGAGCUAUGGGGCACCUGCACCAAUGGGGCAGCCAAUCUGUGGGGCACCCAGACUGUGGGGCAGCCAAGCCAUGGGGCACCAAACCAUGGGGCACCCAAGCCAUGGGGCAUCCAAAGUGUGGGGCACACACGCCAUGGGGCACUCAAAUUGUGGGGCACCCACGCUAUGGGGCAGCCACACCAUGGGGCACCCACGCUAUGGGGCAGGAGAAGGGGCAUCCACCCCCCUGGAGCCAAGCGGGUGCCAAGCCCACCCCCCAACCCCCGACUUGUGGGGUGUGGGGGGGUCAGGGUGCCCCACUGCGGGGUGUGUGGGUCAGAGUGCCCCCGCUGUGGGGUGUGGGGGGGGUCAGGGUGCCCCCCGUGGGGUGUGUGGGUCAGGGUGCCCCACGGUGCCCCCCACGCCCCCCGUCUCUCCCCAGGCCAGCCGAGGCCCC
rnacentral:lncRNA from 1 species